rnacentral:rRNA from 1 species
GUUUGAUCCUGGCUCAGAUUGAACGCUGGCGGCAGGCCUAACACAUGCAAGUCGAGCGGAAACGAGUUAACUGAACCUUCGGGGAACGUUAACGGCGUCGAGCGGCGGACGGGUGAGUAAUGCCUGGGAAAUUGCCCUGAUGUGGGGGAUAACCAUUGGAAACGAUGGCUAAUACCGCAUAAUAGCUUCGGCUCAAAGAGGGGGACCUUCGGGCCUCUCGCGUCAGGAUAUGCCCAGGUGGGAUUAGCUAGUUGGUGAGGUAAUGGCUCACCAAGGCGACGAUCCCUAGCUGGUCUGAGAGGAUGAUCAGCCACACUGGAACUGAGACACGGUCCAGACUCCUACGGGAGGCAGCAGUGGGGAAUAUUGCACAAUGGGCGCAAGCCUGAUGCAGCCAUGCCGCGUGUAUGAAGAAGGCCUUCGGGUUGUAAAGUACUUUCAGCAGUGAGGAAGGUGGGUAUGUUAAUAGCAUAUUCAUUUGACGUUAGCUGCAGAAGAAGCACCGGCUAACUCCGUGCCAGCAGCCGCGGUAAUACGGAGGGUGCGAGCGUUAAUCGGAAUUACUGGGCGUAAAGCGCAUGCAGGUGGUUUGUUAAGUCAGAUGUGAAAGCCCGGGGCUCAACCUCGGAAUUGCAUUUGAAACUGGCAAACUAGAGUACUGUAGAGGGGGGUAGAAUUUCAGGUGUAGCGGUGAAAUGCGUAGAGAUCUGAAGGAAUACCGGUGGCGAAGGCGGCCCCCUGGACAGAUACUGACACUCAGAUGCGAAAGCGUGGGGAGCAAACAGGAUUAGAUACCCCUGGUAGUCCACGCCNGUAACGAUGUCUACUUGGAGGUUGUGGNCUUGAGCCGUGGGCUUUCGGGAGCUAACGCGUUAAGUUAGACCGCCUGGGGGAGUACGGUCGCAAGNNUAANCNUCAAAUGAAUUGGACGGGGGGCCNGCNCAAGNCGGNGGGAGCNNNGUGGNNUUU